rnacentral:tRNA from 1 species
GCCACGGUGGUCUAGCGGAUAGAACGCUGGCCUUGUAAUCCUGGAGGGGGUCUCGGGUUCGAUUCCCGGCGGUGCCC